GAUGAACGCUGGCGGCGUGCCUAAUACAUGCAAGUCGAGCGAACGGACGAGAAGCUUGCUUCUCUGAUGUUAGCGGCGGACGGGUGAGUAACACGUGGAUAACCUACCUAUAAGACUGGGAUAACUUCGGGAAACCGUAGCUAAUACCGGAUAAUAUUUUGAACCGCAUGGUUCAAAAGUGAAAGACGGUCUUGCUGUCACUUAUAGAUGGAUCCGCGCUGCAUUAGCUAGUUGGUAAGGUAACGGCUUACCAAGGCAACGAUGCAUAGCCGACCUGAGAGGGUGAUCGGCCACACUGGAACUGAGACACGGUCCAGACUCCGACGGGAGGCAGCAGUAGGGAAUCUUCCGAAAUGGGCGGAAGCCUGACGGAGCAACGCCGCGUGAGUGAUGAAGGGCUGCGGAUCGUAAAACUCUGUUAUGAGGGAAGAACAUAUGUGUAAGUAACUGUGCACAUCUUGACGGUACCUAAUCAGAAAGCCACGGCUAACUACGU
rnacentral:rRNA from 1 species